UUUCAUGAGAGGAAUAAGCCUCACUCUGAUUCAAAAGCAGGGUUCAAAGAAAAGAUGUCUAUUUCUUGCCACCAGCUACGUGUUAUCUGUGCUUAGAACUGGAAAGCACACAUCAGAAGAGCACCAGCGUGGAGAGACAGA
rfam:Oryctolagus cuniculus cont2.33079, whole genome shotgun sequence.